rnacentral:tmRNA from 2 species
GGGGAUGACAGGCCUAGACAUUGCAACCACUCUUUAAGUUGCCGAGCAGAACUGGGAUAAUUCUUUAAACUGUCCCAAACUCUAACUGGCAAAUCAGUUGCGUCACCGUUUUUCACGGUGAACGAUUUCGCGUUCGCCUACGCUAAGGCUUAACGUGUCACUUCCCUUCCAACACUCGUGAGGAAGGAUCAAGUGUUAUAACAUCGAGUCGCUCUAGACGGCCUGUUCACCCGUUUAGCUAAGACUUGAACUUUGCCUAACCGCGCUUUCGUUCGUUUUCUAUUCGGUUAGGUGAGCAACAAAAGCGGACUACGUUUGGUAGAUUGCUUAAAGAAUUUGCUUUGCACCCGGGUUCAACUCCCGGCAUCUCCACUC